rnacentral:rRNA from 1 species
AGCGAACGCUGGCGGCAGGCUUAACACAUGCAAGUCGAGCGGGCCUUUCGGGGUCAGCGGCGGACGGGUGAGUAACGCGUGGGAACGUGCCCUCUGGUUCGGAAUAACUCAGGGAAACUUGAGCUAAUACCGGGUACGCCCUUUUGGGGAAAGGCUUGCUGCCGGAGGAUCGGCCCGCGUCUGAUUAGCUAGUUGGUGAGGUAACGGCUCACCAAGGCGACGAUCAGUAGCUGGUCUGAGAGGAUGAUCAGCCACACUGGGACUGAGACACGGCCCAGACUCCUACGGGAGGCAGCAGUGGGGAAUAUUGGACAAUGGGCGCAAGCCUGAUCCAGCCAUGCCGCGUGAGUGAUGAAGGCCUUAGGGUUGUAAAGCUCUUUUAUCCGGGACGAUAAUGACGGUACCGGAGGAAUAAGCCCCGGCUAACUUCGUG